UACGGAGGAUCCAAGCGUUAUCCGGAUUCAUUGGGUUUAAAGGGUGCGUAGGCGGAAUGAUAAGUCAGUGGUGAAAUCCUGCAGCUUAACUGCAGAACUGCCAUUGAUACUGUCAAUCUUGAGUACAUUUUGAUGUGGGCGGAAUGUGUCAUGAUAGCGGUGAAAUGCUUAGAUAUGACACAGAACACCGAUUGCGAAGGCAGCUCACAAAAACUGU
rnacentral:rRNA from 1 species